GCCGGGGUCGCCUAGUGGUCAUGGCGGCGGACUUGAGAUCCGCUGGGCUAUAAGCCCGCGUGGGUUCGAAUCCCACCCCCGGCG
rnacentral:tRNA from 1 species